rnacentral:rRNA from 1 species
CUACGGGGGGCUGCAGUUGAGAAUCUUGCGCAAUGGGCGAAAGCCUGACGCAGCCACGCCGCGUGAGCGAUGAAGGCCUUCGGGUUGUAAAGCUCAGUAAGAUGGGACGAAGAAGCGAGGUCCAAUAGGCCUCGUGGUGACGGUACCAUCCUGAAGCCCCGGCUAAUUACGUGCCAGCAGCCGCGGUAAUACGUAUGGGGCAAGCGUUGUUCGGAUUUAUUGGGCGUAAAGGGCACGCAGGCUGAUGAUUAAGUUGGAUGUAUAAGCGUCAGGCUCAACCUGAUACCUGCAUCCAAAACUGGUAGUCUAGAGUUCUGGAGAGGAAAGCGGAAUUCUCGGUGUAGCGGUGGAAUGCGUAGAUAUCGAGAGGAACACCAAUGGCGAAGGCAGUUUUCUGGACAGUAACUGACGCUCAUGUGCGAAAGCGUGGGGAGCAAACAGGAUUAGAUACCCCGGUAGUC